AUUGAACGCUGGCGGCAUGCUUUACACAUGCAAGUCGAACGGCAGCGCGGGCUUCGGCCUGGCGGCGAGUGGCGAACGGGUGAGUAAUACAUCGGAACGUGCCCAGUAGUGGGGGAUAGCUCGGCGAAAGCCGGAUUAAUACCGCAUACGACCUGAGGGUGAAAGCGGGGGAUCUUCGGACCUCGCGCUAUUGGAGCGGCCGAUGGGAGAUUAGCUAGUUGGUGGGGUAAAGGCCUACCAAGGCGACGAUCUGUAGCUGGUCUGAGAGGACGACCAGCCACACUGGGACUGAGACACGGCCCAGACUCCUACGGGAGGCAGCAGUGGGGAAUUUUGGACAAUGGGCGAAAGCCUGAUCCAGCAAUGCCGCGUGUGUGAUGAAGGCCUUCGGGUUGUAAAGCACUUUUGGCGGGAACGAAAAGGACUGUGCCAAUACCACGGUUCGAUGACGGUACCCGCAGAAUAAGCACCGGCUAACUACGUG
rnacentral:rRNA from 1 species